rnacentral:lncRNA from 1 species
UCUUUUUCUCCCUCCCAAGACUAAAUCUCCUUGUCCCUCUCAUUUACUCAAUUUUUAAGAUGUAUUAUUGUUAUUCCAGUUAAUAAAAGAAUAGCACCUAGUAUACUAUCUGACCAGCGAUGAUUUGAUUUUUCUUUUUUCUUUUUUUCUGUGAUAUUAGAUCAACUCUGUUCUAUAAAUAAGCUGCUCUUUCCGAUAAAGCCAUAAGACUAAAAGGUGUGC